rnacentral:pre_miRNA from 1 species
AGACACUGAGAAUGGACAAGCUGGAUGAGAAGUGUCUCAUCCAGCUUGUCCAUUCUCAUUGUCUCAUCCAGCUUGUCCAUUCUCAGUGUCUCA